UGGCUCAGGACGAACGCUGGCGGCGCGCCUAACACAUGCAAGUCGAACGGAGUCAAGAGGAGCUUGCUUUUCUUGACUUAGUGGCGAACGGGUGAGUAACGCGUGAGUAACCUGCCCUGGAGUGGGGGACAACAGUUGGAAACGACUGCUAAUACCGCAUAAGCCCACGGAUCCGCAUGGAUCUGCGGGAAAAGGAUUUAUUCGCUUCAGGAUGGACUCGCGUCCAAUUAGCUAGUUGGUGAGGUAACGGCCCACCAAGGCGACGAUUGGUAGCCGGACUGAGAGGUUGAACGGCCACAUUGGGACUGAGACACGGCCCAGACUCCUACGGGAGGCAGUAGUGGGGGAUAUUGCACAAUGGGGGAAACCCUGAUGCAGCGACGCCGCGUGGAGGAAGAAGGUUUUCGGAUUGUAAACUCCUGUCGUUAGGGACGAUAAUGACGGUACCUAACAAGAAAGCACCGGCUAACUACGUGCCAGCAGCCGCGGUAAAACGUAGGGUGCAAGCGUUGUCCGGAAUUACUGGGUGUAAAGGGAGCGCAGGCGGACCGGCAAGUUGGAAGUGAAAACUAUGGGCUCAACCCAUAAAUUGCUUUCAAAACUGCUGGCCUUGAGUAGUGCAGAGGUAGGUGGAAUUCCUGGUGUAGCGGUGGAAUGCGUAGAUAUCGGGAGGAACACCAGUGGCGAAGGCGACCUACUGGGCACCAACUGACGCUGAGGCUCGAAAGCAUGGGUAGCAAACAGGAUUAGAUACCCUGGUAGUCCAUGCCGUAAACGAUGAUUACUAGGUGUUGGAGGAUUGACCCCUUCAGUGCCGCAGUUAACACAAUAAGUAAUCCACCUGUGGAGUACGACCGCAAGGUUGAAACUCAAAGGAAU
rnacentral:rRNA from 1 species